rnacentral:tRNA from 1 species
UGAAAAGUAUAGCAUUAAUAAGGAUCUUCUAAGUCUUUUAUUGAGCGGUUUGAUUCCGUUCCUUUUCUU